rnacentral:rRNA from 1 species
UACGUAGGGUGCGAGCGUUAAUCGGAAUUACUGGGCGUAAAGUGUGCGCAGGCGGUCCCGCAAGUCAAGUGUGAAAGCCCCGGGCUUAACCUGGGAACUGCGCUUGAAACUACGAGACUCGAGUGUGGCAGAGGAAGGUGGAAUUCCACGUGUAGCGGUGAAAUGCGUAGAUAUCGAGAGGAACACCUGCGGCGAAGGCGGGUUGCUGGGCUGACACUGACGCUGAUGUGCGAAAGCUAGGGGAGCGAACGGG